GGAGAGGUGGCAGAGUGGUCGAUUGCGCUCGACUUGAAAUCGAGUGAACCGCAAGGUUCCGUGGGUUCAAAUCCCACCCUCUCCG
rnacentral:tRNA from 1 species